rnacentral:rRNA from 1 species
AAAUUGAAGAGUUUGAUCAUGGCUCAGAUUGAACGCUGGCGGCAGGCCUAACACAUGCAAGUCGAGCGGUAGCACAGAGAGCUUGCUCUCGGGUGACGAGCGGCGGACGGGUGAGUAAUGUCUGGGAAACUGCCUGAUGGAGGGGGAUAACUACUGGAAACGGUAGCUAAUACCGCAUAAUGUCGCAAGACCAAAGUGGGGGACCUUCGGGCCUCAUGCCAUCAGAUGUGCCCAGAUGGGAUUAGCUAGUAGGUGGGGUAACGGCUCACCUAGGCGACGAUCCCUAGCUGGUCUGAGAGGAUGACCAGCCACACUGGAACUGAGACACGGUCCAGACUCCUACGGGAGGCAGCAGUGGGGAAUAUUGCACAAUGGGCGCAAGCCUGAUGCAGCCAUGCCGCGUGUGUGAAGAAGGCCUUCGGGUUGUAAAGCACUUUCAGCGGGGAGGAAGGCGAUAAGGUUAAUAACCUCAUCGAUUGACGUUACCCGCAGAAGAAGCACCGGCUAACUCCGUGCCAGCAGCCGCGGUAAUACGGAGGGUGCAAGCGUUAAUCGGAAUUACUGGGCGUAAAGCGCACGCAGGCGGUCUGUCAAGUCGGAUGUGAAAUCCCCGGGCUCAACCUGGGAACUGCAUUCGAAACUGGCAGGCUAGAGUCUUGUAGAGGGGGGUAGAAUUCCAGGUGUAGCGGUGAAAUGCGUAGAGAUCUGGAGGAAUACCGGUGGCGAAGGCGGCCCCCUGGACAAAGACUGACGCUCAGGUGCGAAAGCGUGGGGAGCAAACAGGAUUAGAUACCCUGGUAGUCCACGCCGUAAACGAUGUCGAUUUGGAGGUUGUGCCCUUGAGGCGUGGCUUCCGGAGCUAACGCGUUAAAUCGACCGCCUGGGGAGUACGGCCGCAAGGUUAAAACUCAAAUGAAUUGACGGGGGCCCGCACAAGCGGUGGAGCAUGUGGUUUAAUUCGAUGCAACGCGAAGAACCUUACCUGGUCUUGACAUCCACAGAACUUAGCAGAGAUGCUUUGGUGCCUUCGGGAACUGUGAGACAGGUGCUGCAUGGCUGUCGUCAGCUCGUGUUGUGAAAUGUUGGGUUAAGUCCCGCAACGAGCGCAACCCUUAUCCUUUGUUGCCAGCGGUCCGGCCGGGAACUCAAAGGAGACUGCCAGUGAUAAACUGGAGGAAGGUGGGGAUGACGUCAAGUCAUCAUGGCCCUUACGACCAGGGCUACACACGUGCUACAAUGGCAUAUACAAAGAGAAGCGACCUCGCGAGAGCAAGCGGACCUCAUAAAGUAUGUCGUAGUCCGGAUUGGAGUCUGCAACUCGACUCCAUGAAGUCGGAAUCGCUAGUAAUCGUAGAUCAGAAUGCUACGGUGAAUACGUUCCCGGGCCUUGUACACACCGCCCGUCACACCAUGGGAGUGGGUUGCAAAAGAAGUAGGUAGCUUAACCUUCGGGAGGGCGCUUACCACUUUGUGAUUCAUGACUGGGGUGAAGUCGUAACAAGGUAACCGUAGGGGAACCUGCGGUUGGAUCACCUCCUUA